rnacentral:rRNA from 1 species
UACGGAGGGUGCAAGCGUUAAUCGGAAUUACUGGGCGUAAAGCGUGCGCAGGCGGUUUUGUAAGUUUGUCGUGAAAUCCCCGGGCUCAACCUGGGAAUUGCAUCUGUGACUGCAUAGCUAGAGUACGGUAGAGGGGGAUGGAAUUCCGCGUGUAGCAGUGAAAUGCGUAGAUAUGCGGAGGAACACCGAUGGCGAAGGCAAUCCCCUGGACCUGUACUGACGCUCAUGCACGAAAGCGUGGGGAGCAAACAGGG